rnacentral:rRNA from 1 species
CAGCGGCGUGCUACCAUGCAGUCGAACGGAAGGCCCUUCGGGGUACUCGAGUGGCGAACGGGUGAGUAACACGUGGGUGAUCUGCCCUGCACUUUGGGAUAAGCCUGGGAAACUGGGUCUAAUACCGAAUAUGACCAUGCACUUCCUGGUGUGUGGUGGAAAGCUUUUGCGGUGUGGGAUGGGCCCGCGGCCUAUCAGCUUGUUGGUGGGGUAAUGGCCUACCAAGGCGACGACGGGUAGCCGGCCUGAGAGGGUGACCGGCCACACUGGGACUGAGAUACGGCCCAGACUCCUACGGGAGGCAGCAGUGGGGAAUAUUGCACAAUGGGCGCAAGCCUGAUGCAGCGACGCCGCGUGAGGGAUGACGGCCUUCGGGUUGUAAACCUCUUUCAGCACAGACGAAGCGCAAGUGACGGUAUGUGCAGAAGAAGGACCGGCCAACUACGUGCCAGCAGCCGCGGUAAUACGUAGGGUCCGAGCGUUGUCCGGAAUUACUGGGCGUAAAGAGCUCGUAGGUGGUUUGUCGCGUUGUUCGUGAAAACUCACAGCUUAACUGUGGGCGUGCGGGCGAUACGGGCAGACUUGAGUACUGCAGGGGAGACUGGAAUUCCUGGUGUAGCGGUGGAAUGCGCAGAUAUCAGGAGGAACACCGGUGGCGAAGGCGGGUCUCUGGGCAGUAACUGACGCUGAGGAGCGAAAGCGUGGGGAGCGAACAGGAUUAGAUACCCUGGUAGUCCACGCCGUAAACGGUGGGUACUAGGUGUGGGUUUCCUUCCUUGGGAUCCGUGCCGUAGCUAACGCAUUAAGUACCCCGCCUGGGGAGUACGGCCGCAAGGCUAAAACUCAAAGAAAUUGACGGGGGCCCGCACAAGCGGCGGAGCAUGUGGAUUAAUUCGAUGCAACGCGAAGAACCUUACCUGGGUUUGACAUGCACAGGACGACUGCAGAGAUGUGGUUUCCCUUGUGGCCUGUGUGCAGUGGUGCAUGGCUGUCGUCAGCUCGUGUCGUGAGAUGUUGGGUUAAGUCCCGCAACGAGCGCAACCCUUGUCCUAUGUUGCCAGCGGGUAUGCCGGGACUCGUAGAGACUGCCGGGUCACUCGAGAGUGGGGAUGACGUCAAGUCAUCAUGCCCUUAUGUCAAGGGCUUCACACAUGCUACAUUGCCGUACAAGGCUGCCAUGCGUGAGGGUGGAGCGCAAUUCUUUCCAAGGGCCGGUCUCUCCAAGU